GAGUUUGAUUCUGGCUCAGAACGAACGCUGGCGGCAGGCCUAAGACAUGCAAGUCGUACGAGAAAGCCCUUUCGGGGGUGAGUAGAGUGGCGAACGGGUUAGUAACGCGUGGGAACAUACACAGCACAGGGGGAUAACCAUUGGAAACGAUGGCUAAUACCGCAUACGCCCUAUGGGGGAAAGAUUUAUCGGUGUUGGAUUGGCCCGCGUUAGAUUAGCUAGUUGGUGGGGUAAUUGCCUACCAAGGCGACGAUUUAUAGCUGGUUUGAGAGGAUGAUCAGCAACACUGGAACUGAGACACGGUCCAGACUCCUACGGGAGGCAGCAGUCGGGAAUAUUGUGCAAUGGGGGCAACCCUGACACAGCCAUGCCGCGUGAGUGAAGAAGGCCUUAGGGUUGUAAAGCUCUUUCAGAUGUGAGGAUGAUGACGAUAGCAUCACAAGAAGCUCCGGCUAACUUCGUGCCAGCAGCCGCGGUAAUACGAAGGGAGCAAGCGUUGUUCGGAAUUACUGGGCGUAAAGGGCGUGUAGGCGGAUUAUCAAGUUAGGGGUGAAAUCCCGGGGCUCAACCUCGGCACUGCCUUUAAGACUGAUAAUCUAGAGUAUGUGAGGGGAUAAUGGAAUACCUAGUGUAGAGGUGAAAUUCGUAGAUAUUAGGUGGAACACCAGUGGCGAAGGCGAUUAUCUGGCACAUUACUGACGCUGAGGCGCGAAAGCGUGGGGAGCAAACGGGAUUAGAUACCCCGGUAGUCCACGCCGUAAACGAUGUAUACUAGUUGUCGGGCAUUGGUUCGGUGACGCAGCUAACGCAUUAAGUAUACCGCCUGGGGAGUACGGUCGCAAGAUUAAAACUC
rnacentral:rRNA from 1 species